rnacentral:rRNA from 1 species
UGCGUAGGCGGGGCAAUUAGUCAGUGGUGAAAUCCUGCGGCUUAACCGUAGAACUGCCAUUGAUACUGUCGCCCUUGAGUAUAGUUGAGGUGGGCGGAAUGUGUAAUGUAGCGGUGAAAUGCAUAGAGAUUACACAGAACACCAAUUGCGAAGGCAGCUCACUAAGCUAUAACUGACGCUGAGGCACGAAAGCGUGGGGAGCGAACAGGAUUAGAUACCCUGGUAGUCC